rnacentral:rRNA from 1 species
GAUGAACGCUGGCGGCGUGCUUAACACAUGCAAGUCGAACGGUGAAGGCGGAGCUUGCUCUGCUGGAUCAGUGGCGAACGGGUGAGUAACACGUGAGCAAUCUGCCCCUGACUCUGGGAUAAGCGCUGGAAACGGCGUCUAAUACUGGAUACGAGCUGCGAAGGCAUCUUCAGCAGCUGGAAAGAACUUCGGUCAGGGAUGAGCUCGCGGCCUAUCAGCUUGUUGGUGAGGUAACGGCUCACCAAGGCGUCGACGGGUAGCCGGCCUGAAAGGGUGACCGGCCACACUGGGACUGAGACACGGCCCAGACUCCUACGGGAGGCAACAGUGGGGAAUAUUGCACAAUGGGCGAAAGCCUGAUGCAGCAACGCCGCGUGAGGGACGACGGCCUUCGGGUUGUAAACCUCUUUUAGCAGGGAAGAAGCGAAAGUGACGGUACCUGCAGAAAAAGCGCCGGCUAACUACGUG